rnacentral:rRNA from 1 species
GACGAACGCUGGCGGCGUGCUUAACACAUGCAAGUCGAACGGAAAGGCCUGCUUUCCCUUGUGGAUUGCGGGUACUCGAGUGGCGAACGGGUGAGUAACACGUGAGUGAUCUGCCCCCAACUUGGGUAUAAGCCUGGGAAACUGGGUCUAAUUCCCGAUAGGACUGCAGGGUGGUGCCUGUGGUGGAAAACGAUUUUCUAGUGGUUGGGGAUGAGCUCGCGGCCUAUCAGCUUGUUGGUGGGGUAAUGGCCUACCAAGGCGGCGACGGGUAGCCGGCCUGAGAGGGUGGACGGCCACAUUGGGACUGGGAUACGGCCCAGACUCCUACGGGAGGCAGCAGUGGGGAAUAUUGCACAAUGGGCGGAAGCGUGAUGCAGCGACGCCGCGUGGGGGAUGACGGCCUUCGGGUUGUAAGCUCCUUUCGACCGCGAGGAAGCCACCUGGUUGGGAGGGUGGUGACGGUAGUGGUAGAAGAAGCACCGGCUAACUACGUG